UCUCAAAGAUUAAGCCAUGCAUGUGUCAGUGCAAGCCUUUCCUUACGGUGAAACCGCGAAUUGCUCAUUAAAUCAGUCAUUAUCCGUUGGACAUUAUUGAACCGUGUCCUUACUCGGAUAACUGUGGUAAUUCUAGAGCUAAUACAUGCCACGAGUUCCCAAAGUGUUUUGCUUGACGCGAGUAGGACGCAAUUAUUAGAUCCAAAAAUUGUACCGAUUUCUUACUUGGUGUAAAAUUUGGUGAAUCUGGAUAAUCACUGUAGAGCGCUUAAUUCGUGCCGGCGCCUGACCUAUGAAGAGUCUGCCCUAUCAGCUUGAUUGUAGAUUAAAUGUCUACAAUGGCUAUAACGGGUAACGGGGAAUCAGGGUUCGAUUCCGGAGAGGGAGCCUGAGAAACGGCUACCACAUCUAAGGAAGGCAGCAGGCACGCAAAUUGUUCAAUCUUAGCUCGAGGAAGCAGUGACAAAAUAUCUUGAUGCGGGACUCUUCCGAGGCCUCGCAAUCAGGAUGCGUUUACUUUAAACCAGUACGCUGAACGCAAUUGGAGGGCAAGUCUGGUGCCAGCAACCGCGGUAAUUCCAGCUCCAAUAGCGUAUUUUUAAGUUGCUGCGGUUAAAAAGCUCGUAGUUGGACUUUAUACUCAGGCAGCCAGCCCUCGUUCGUUUGAGGUUAUUACUGCGCUGUGACUGAGUGUAUAUGAGACCGUCGAUACUUUUUAAUCUAUAAUCGUUGGUGCCCUUAAAUGGUUUAGGUAUAUUCGUUAUAAAAGUUUCGACUCUAUCACUUUGAAAAAAUUAGAGUGCUCAAAGCACUCAUUGCAUAAUUGCCUGAAUGGUAGUGCAUGGAAUGAUGAAAGAUGAUCUCUACCUCGUUAAGUUUAUGAUUAGAUUGGUUCUUUAAUUUGCACCAGGUAAAGAUUCGAGGUUUGAGAUAAUGAUUAAAGGGAACUGCCGGGGGCGUUUGUAUUACGGCGCUAGAGGUGAAAUUCUUGGACCGUCGUAAGACAAACUACUGCGAAAGCAUUCGCCAAGAAUGUUUUCAUUAAUCAAGAACGAAAGUUAGAGUUUAGAAGGAGAUCAGAUACCUCCCUAUUUCUAACCGUAAACUAUGCUAACCUGUUGUCCGUCGGAAGUCAUUUCCGAUGGACGAGCGACCCCAGGGAAACCAGAGUUUUUCUGUUCCGGGGGAAGUAUGGUUGCAAAGCUGAAACUUAAAGGAAUUGACGGAAGGGCMCCCCCAGGAGUGGAGCCUGCGGCUUAAUUUGACUCAACACGGGAAACCUCACCAGGCCCAGAAACAUUUAGGAUUGACAGAUUGAAAGCUCUUUCAUGAUUAUGAGGAUGGUGGUGCAUGGCCGUUCUUAGUUGGUGGAGCGAUCUGUCUGGUUAAUUCCGAUAACGAACGAGAUUCUCAUUUGCUAAAUAGAAGGUAGAUCUGAUCCCGAGAGUUCUUGUGGAAGCUUAUGUCGGGUAGUCUAUCUUUCUUCUUAGAAAAAUCAAUGGUGCUCUAAUCAGUUGACAGGAAGAGCAAUAACAGGUCUGUGAUGCCCUUAGAUGUUCUGGGCCGCACGCGCGCUACAAUGCGCGGUGCAACACGUCCCCCUUCUCCCUAAUGGAGUGGGUAACCGGUUCAAAUCCGGGCUUACUUGGGAUUGGGGCUUGCAAAUAUUUCCCAUAAACGAGGAAUUCCCAGUAAGCGUUGGCUCAUUCAAGUCGCGCUGAUUACGUCCCUGCCCUUUGUACACACCGCCCGUCGCUACUACCGAUUGAAUGUUUCAGUGAGAACACUGGACUGUCGCUCUAAAGUUUUGAGCUGACGGGAAGAUGUUCAAACUUGAUC
rnacentral:rRNA from 1 species